rnacentral:rRNA from 1 species
UACGAAGGGGGCUAGCGUUGCUCGGAAUCACUGGGCGUAAAGCGCACGUAGGCGGCUUCUAAGUCAGGGGUGAAAUCCUGGAGCUCAACUCCAGAACUGCCUUUGAUACUGGAGAGCUUGAGUCCGGAAGAGGUGAGUGGAACUCCGAGUGUAGAGGUGAAAUUCGUAGAUAUUCGGAGGAACACCAGAAGCGAAGGCGGCCAACUGGCCCGAUACUGACGCUGAGGCGGCGAAAAGCGUGGGGAGCAAACAGGGAUUAAGAAACCCUGGUAACGUCC